GUUGAACGCUGGCGGCAGGCCUAACACAUGCAAGUCGAACGAGUGGCGGACGGGUGAGUAUUGCCUGUGAAACUGCCUGAUUGAGGGGGAUAACUACUGGAAACGGUAGCUAAUACUGCCCACCAUGGAAUGGGCCCAGAUGUGUUUAGGUAGUGGGUGGGGUAACGGCUCACCUAGGAGACGAUCCCUAGCUGGUCGGUCCGGAUGACCAGCCACACUGGAACUGAGACGCGGUCCAGACUCCUACGGGAGGCAGCGGAGGGGAAUAUUACACAGUGGGCGCAGGCCUGGCCCAGCCAAGCCGCGUGUAUGAAGGAGGGCUGCGUGUAGUAAACGUCUGUCGUUGGGGAAGCGUUACCAGCAGAAGAAGCACCGGCUAACUCCGUGCCAGCAGCCGCGGUAAUUC
rnacentral:rRNA from 1 species